rnacentral:rRNA from 1 species
ACAGGCUUAACACAUGCAAGUCGAGGGGCAGCAUGGUCUUAGCUUGCUAAGGCCGAUGGCGACCGGCGCACGGGUGAGUAACACGUAUCCAACCUGCCGUCUACUCUUGGACAGCCUUCUGAAAGGAAGAUUAAUACAAGAUGGCAUCAUGAGUCCGCAUGUUCACAUGAUUAAAGGUAUUCCGGUAGACGAUGGGGAUGCGUUCCAUUAGAUAGUAGGCGGGGUAACGGCCCACCUAGUCUUCGAUGGAUAGGGGUUCUGAGAGGAAGGUCCCCCACAUUGGAACUGAGACACGGUCCAAACUCCUACGGGAGGCAGCAGUGAGGAAUAUUGGUCAAUGGGCGAGAGCCUGAACCAGCCAAGUAGCGUGAAGGAUGACUGCCCUAUGGGUUGUAAACUUCUUUUAUAAAGGAAUAAAGUCGGGUAUGCAUACCCGUUUGCAUGUACUUUAUGAAUAAGGAUCGGCUAACUCCGUGCCAGCAGCCGCGGUAAUACGGAGGAUCCGAGCGUUAUCCGGAUUUAUUGGGUUUAAAGGGAGCGUAGAUGGAUGUUUAAGUCAGUUGUGAAAGUUUGCGGCUCAACCGUAAAAUUGCAGUUGAUACUGGAUAUCUUGAGUGCAGUUGAGGCAGGCGGAAUUCGUGGUGUAGCGGUGAAAUGCUUAGAUAUCACGAAGAACUCCGAUUGCGAAGGCAGCCUGCUAAGCUGCAACUGACAUUGAGGCUCGAAAGUGUGGGUAUCAAACAGGAUUAGAUACCCUGGUAGUCCACACGGUAAACGAUGAAUACUCGCUGUUUGCGAUAUACAGCAAGCGGCCAAGCGAAAGCGUUAAGUAUUCCACCUGGGGAGUACGCCGGCAACGGUGAAACUCAAAGGAAUUGACGGGGGCCCGCACAAGCGGAGGAACAUGUGGUNUAAUUCGAUGAUACGCGAGGAACCUUACCCGGGCUUAAAUUGCAGAUGAAUUACGGUGAAAGCCGUAAGCCGCAAGGCAUCUGUGAAGGUGCUGCAUGGUUGUCGUCAGCUCGUGCCGUGAGGUGUCGGCUUAAGUGCCAUAACGAGCGCAACCCUUGUUGUCAGUUACUAACAGGUUCUGCUGAGGACUCUGACAAGACUGCCAUCGUAAGAUGUGAGGAAGGUGGGGAUGACGUCAAAUCAGCACGGCCCUUACGUCCGGGGCUACACACGUGUUACAAUGGGGGGUACAGAGGGCCGCUACCACGCGAGUGGAUGCCAAUCCCAAAAACCUCUCUCAGUUCGGACUGGAGUCUGCAACCCGACUCCACGAAGCUGGAUUCGCUAGUAAUCGCGCAUCAGCCACGGCGCGGUGAAUACGUUCCCGGGCCUUGUACAC